UACGUAGGGUGCGAGCGUUGUCCGGAAUUAUUGGGCGUAAAGAGCUUGUAGGCGGUUUGUCGCGUCUGCCGUGAAAAUCCGGGGCUCAACCCCGGACUUGCGGUGGGUACGGGCAGACUAGAGUGUGGUAGGGGGAGACUGGAAUUCCUGGUGUAGCGGUGAAAUGCGCAGAUAUCAGGAGGAACACCGAUGGCGAAGGCAGGUCUCUGGGCUGAGAUUGACGCUCAGGCACGAAAGCGUGGGGAGCAAACAGG
rnacentral:rRNA from 1 species